AACGAACGCUGGCGGCGUGGUUUAGGCAUGCAAGUCGUACGAGUUAGUGUGGAGCAAACCGCAAGUUGCAGCAAUGCAAUGAGUGAUAGCACUGCGCUAACUAGUGGCGUAAGGGUGAGUAACGCGUGGGCAAUCUACUCCCGAGACAGGUAUAACCUAUCGAGAGGUAGGCUAAUACCAGAUAAGAUUGCUGAGAGGCAUCUCUCGGUAAUAAAAGGUGGCUUAAUCCGCUUUAGUGUGGAUGCUGUCGCUUGGGAAGGAGCCUGCGUCCCAUUAGCUAGUUGGUAGAGUAAUAGCCUACCAAGGCGACGAUGGGUAGCCGACCUGAGAGGGUGACCGGCCACACUGGGACUGAGACACUGCCCAGACUCCUACGGGAGGCUGCAGUCGAGAAUCUUUCGCAAUGGACGAAAGUCUGACGAAGCGACGCCGCGUGAGCGAUGAAGGCCUUCGGGUUGUAAAGCUCUGUUUCCCGGGACGAAUGGUUGUCGGGCCAAUACCCCGACAGUCUGACGGUACCGGGUGAGGAAGCUCCUGCUAACUCCGUGCCAGCAGCCGCGGUAAUACGGAGGGGGCGAGCGUUGUUCGGAUUUAUUGGGCGUAAAGAGCAUGUAGGUAGUUAUCUAAGUCGGACGUGAAAGCCCCUGGCUCAACCAGGGACCAGCGUUCGAAACUGGAUGACUUGAGUAUGGAAGAGGAGAGUGGAAUUCCUGGUGUAGCGGUGAAAUGCGUAGAUAUCAGGAGGAACACCGGUGGCGAAGGCGACUCUCUGGUCCGAUACUGACACUGAGAUGCGAAAGCUGGGGGAGCAAACGGGAUUAGAUACCCCGGUAGUCCCAGCCGUAAACGAUGGGCACUAGGUGUAGGAGAUUCAUUCUUCUGUGCCGUAGCUAACGCGUUAAGUGCCCCGCCUGGGGAGUACGGUCGCAAGGCUG
rnacentral:rRNA from 1 species